GGGGAAUUUUCCGCAAUGGGCGAAAGCCUGACGGAGCAAUACCGCGUGAGGGAGGAAGGCUCUUGGGUUGUAAACCUCUUUUCUCAGGGAAGAAUAAUGACGGUAUCUGAGGAAUAAGCAUCGGCUAACUCUGUGCCAGCAGCCGCGGUAAUACAGAGGAUGCAAGCGUUAUCCGGAAUGAUUGGGCGUAAAGCGUCCGCAGGUGGUUUUAUAAGUCUGCUGUUAAAUCGUUAGGCUUAACCUAAUAAGGGCAGUGGAAACUAUAAGACUAGAGUAUGUUAGGGGCAGAGGGAAUUCCCAGUGUAGCGGUGAAAUGCGUAGAGAUUGGGAAGAACACCGGUGGCGAAAGCGCUCUGCUAAAACGUAACUGACACUCAUGGACGAAAGCUAGGGCAGCGAAUGGGAUUAGAUACCCCAG
rnacentral:rRNA from 1 species